AGCCAGCACCUCAAGUGGUCAGGAUGAUUAUUGGGCCUAAAGCAUCCGUAGCCGGCUCUGUAAGUUUUCGGUUAAAUCUGUACGCUCAACGUACAGGCUGCCGGGAAUACUGCAGAACUAGGGAGUGGGAGAGGUAGACGGUACUCGGUAGGAAGUGGUAAAAUGCUUUGAUCUAUCGAUGACCACCUGUGGCGAAGGCGGCUAGCUGGGCCGGAUCUGACGCUCAUCCGCGAAAGCGUGGGGAGCAAACAGG
rnacentral:rRNA from 1 species